AGCUUUGUGCAGGUGCAGUAUCAUAGCCAAUCAGGUUUAUCCGAGGAGUGAUUAUUGCUAAUUUAAAACUCUUCCUAACUUAAAUCCUAUUGUUUUUCUAUGAAAAUUUAGAGAUGUACAUAAUACCAUGUGCAUUUAU